rnacentral:rRNA from 1 species
AACUAACGCUGGCGGCGUGCCUAACACAUGCAAGUCGUACGAGAAAGCCGGCUUCGGCUGGUGAGUAAAGUGGCGCACGGGUGAGUAACGCGUGGAUAAUCUGCCCUUAAGUGUGGAAUAACGUACCGAAAGGUGCGCUAAUACCGCAUAAUGCCUGGCAACACAAGUUGUCCGGCCAAAGAAGGCCUCUGUUUACAAGCUUUCGCUUCAGGAUGAGUCCGCGUACCAUUAGCUUGUUGGUGGGGUAAUGGCCUACCAAGGCUGCGAUGGUUAGCUGGUCUGAGAGGAUGAUCAGCCACACUGGAACUGAGACACGGUCCAGACUCCUACGGGAGGCAGCAGUGGGGAAUAUUGGGCAAUGGGCGAAAGCCUGACCCAGCGACGCCGCGUGGGUGAUGAAGGCCUUCGGGUUGUAAACCUUUCGUGCGGAAGAAUAGUCCUGUAGCGAAUAACUACGGGAUUUGACGGUACCGCAGGAAGAAGCACCGGCUAACUCCGUGCC